rnacentral:rRNA from 1 species
GACGAACGCUGGCGGCGUGCUUAACACAUGCAAGUCGAACGGAAAGGCCCUGCUUUUGUGGGGUGCUCGAGUGGCGAACGGGUGAGUAACACGUGAGUAACCUGCCCUUGACUUUGGGAUAACUUCAGGAAACUGGGGCUAAUACCGGAUAGGAGCUCCUGCUGCAUGGUGGGGGUUGGAAAGUUUCGGCGGUUGGGGAUGGACUCGCGGCUUAUCAGCUUGUUGGUGGGGUAGUGGCUUACCAAGGCUUUGACGGGUAGCCGGCCUGAGAGGGUGACCGGCCACAUUGGGACUGAGAUACGGCCCAGACUCCUACGGGAGGCAGCAGUGGGGAAUAUUGCACAAUGGGCGGAAGCCUGAUGCAGCAACGCCGCGUGCGGGAUGACGGCCUUCGGGUUGUAAACCGCUUUCGCCUGUGACGAAGCGUGAGUGACGGUAAUGGGUAAAGAAGCACCGGCUAACUACGUGCCAGCAGCCACGGUGAUACGUAGGGUGCGAGCGUUGUCCGGAUUUAUUGGGCGUAAAGGGCUCGUAGGUGGUUGAUCGCGUCGGAAGUGUAAUCUUGGGGCUUAACCCUGAGCGUGCUUUCGAUACGGGUUGACUUGAGGAAGGUAGGGGAGAAUGGAAUUCCUGGUGGAGCGGUGGAAUGCGCAGAUAUCAGGAGGAACACCAGUGGCGAAGGCGGUUCUCUGGGCCUUUCCUGACGCUGAGGAGCGAAAGCGUGGGGAGCGAACAGGCUUAGAUACCCUGGUAGUCCACGCUGUAAACGGUGGGUACUAGGUGUGGGGUCCAUUCCACGGGUUCCGUGCCGUAGCUAACGCUUUAAGUACCCCGCCUGGGGAGUACGGCCGCAAGGCUAAAACUCAAAGGAAUUGACGGGGCCCCGCACAAGCGGCGGAGCAUGCGGAUUAAUUCGAUGCAACGCGUAGAACCUUACCUGGGUUUGACAUGGAUCGGGAGCGCUCAGAGAUGGGUGUGCCUCUUUUGGGGUCGGUUCACAGGUGGUGCAUGGCUGUCGUCAGCUCGUGUCGUGAGAUGUUGGGUUAAGUCCCGCAACGAGCGCAACCCUUGUUCACUGUUGCCAGCACGUUAUGGUGGGGACUCAGUGGAGACCGCCGGGGUCAACUCGGAGGAAGGUGGGGAUGACGUCAAGUCAUCAUGCCCCUUAUGUCCAGGGCUUCACGCAUGCUACAAUGGCUGGUACAGAGAGUGGCGAGCCUGUGAGGGUGAGCGAAUCUCGGAAAGCCGGUCUCAGUUCGGAUUGGGGUCUGCAACUCGACCUCAUGAAGUCGGAGUCGCUAGUAAUCGCAGAUCAGCAACGCUGCGGUGAAUACGUUCCCGGG